GCGCCGCCCCUCGCCUCCCCGCCGCCGGCCCGGCCCUCAGCCACCCUCUGCCCGCCGGGGCCGGGUCUCAGGGAGCCCCGGCCCAGCCAACCCGAGCUGCGGCCGGGGCCCAUUGUCCCGCGAUCUGUCCGUCCGGAGGCGGAGCCCAGGGACGCGGAGCGCCGAGGCUGCGGAUUCACAUCACUCGGAUUCGGGCGAGUUUACUUUGCUCCGUGGGAACCUCACCAGAGCUGGAGGUCAGCACCUUACAAGGAGGUAGUGACCUGUCCAGGGGUGAAACUGGGAAAGAAUCGAACUUGUCUAUCAGGGAAACAUGUCCCGUAGGAAACAGACAAAUCCAAAUAAAGUUCACUGGGAUCAAGUAUUUGCUGGGUUAGAAGAACAAGCCCGACAGGCAAUGAUGAAAACCGAGUUUCCUGGAGACCUUGGCAGUCAGCGACAAGCUCUCCAACAUCUAAGAGACCAGGACUCCAGUAGCAGUGAGUUCUGCACCUUCUGGUAAUGACUCAGGGCAACGGGAGAGGAACUAAUAGAGUGUGUGCUGUGGGGAGUGUGCACGGGGCUGGGAGGAAGAUCUAAGAAGGGAUAUGGAUCUCAGGCCUGAACAUGUCUAUGCAGAAGAGGACAGGUGGCAUGUUUUUAUAACUCAGGGACUCUAGUAAUUGACACUGCUGUACCAUAUACAGCAGAUACAGAUAGUUUCGUGGCGAUUGUGAUACGGGACAUUCUAAGACAAAUGGUUAGUGUUCAGGCAGCUUGUGGGCCAGGUAAAAAAGAAAAAACAUCCUUUUGCUUCAGGUCUGUGUAUUUACAGUUAGUGAAGUCUGAGUGGCAUUAAUGAAUUUCACUUGAGUCCUAGUCUUACUGUUUUACAGAUUUGCUUAGUGAUGAGGUUUGUAGAGCGUGUAAAAUGCUGAAGUCCAGGUUUCCCACACCAAAGUCCUUACUAGAUUUCUGUGUUUAGGAGAUAAAAAAAAAAAAUAGUC
rnacentral:lncRNA from 1 species